rnacentral:rRNA from 1 species
ACAAGCAUUCGCCUGAGAACUACGAGCACAAACGCUUAAAACUCUAAGGACUUGGCGGUGCUCUAAACCCACCUAGAGGAGCCUGUUCUAUAAUCGAUAACCCACGAUCCACCCGACCACUUCUUGCCAAAACAGCCUAUAUACCGCCGUCGCCAGCCCACCUCAUGAGAGCACAGCAGUGAGCCCAACAGCCCGCAGCCACUAAUAAGACAGGUCAAGGUAUAGCCUAUGAAGUGGAAGAAAUGGGCUACAUUUUCUAAAAUAGAAAACCUAACGAAAGGGGGCCUGAAAUCUACCCCCAGAAGGCGGAUUUAGCAGUAAAGCAGGACAAUC